AUGGUGGAUGACGUUACGAACGUUGAUGAUGAGGAACAGAUUGCUGGGUUCAUGAGAGAGAGAGGAAGACGGCGAUGUAAGCUGAUGGUGAUUUACAGUGGAGUGGUGUUAUUGGCGGAAGAAGAAACUGAAGGAAUUGUGAAUAAUGAGGGUUGGGGGAACGAAAUUGUAGAGAAGGUUACUGCAUUUUUGUCUCAAAAUCUUCAAUUUUCCAAUGGAUCUCUCUCUUUUCCAUUUUGA